UACGUAGGGUGCGAGCGUUAAUCGGAAUUACUGGGCGUAAAGCGUGCGCAGGCGGUUUUGUAAGCCAGGUGUGAAAUCCCCGGGCUCAACCUGGGAAUGGCAUUUGGGACUGCAAGGCUGGAGUGCGGCAGAGGAGACUGGAAUUCCAGGUGUAGCGGUGAAAUGCGUAGAUAUCUGGAGGAAUACCGGUGGCGAAGGCGGCAUCCUGGACCAUAACUGACGCUGAGGCGCGAAAGCUAGGGGAGCAAACGGG
rnacentral:rRNA from 1 species